ACAAAUAUAGGUUCAUUCACAGUUUUAACUUAACUUAUUCAUCCCAAUUCAAAGGUAUUUCUCAAAACCUAAUUAGAGUCAAUCAAUGGCUUAUUACUACUGUCGUAACCUGAAAAAUACAGUGCGCGAAAAAACAACCGGCGAAAGAAAGUGACAGAAGAGUCGCCACCGUGCGUUAUUUAUCCCAAAGGAGGGAAAGGAAACGCUCGAAGUAAACCUGAAAAAAGGAAAGGACAAGACGG
rnacentral:lncRNA from 1 species